rnacentral:rRNA from 1 species
ACUUUGAAAAAAUUAGAGUGCUCAAAGCAGGCGCGACGCCUGAAUAAUGGUGCAUGGAAUAAUGGAAUAGGACCUCGGUUCUAUUUUGUUGGUUUUCGGAACACGAGGUAAUGAUUAAGAGGGACAGACGGGGGCAUUCGUAUUGCGACGCUAGAGGUGAAAUUCUUGGACCGCCGCACGACGAACUACUGCGAAAGCAUUUGCCAAGAAUGUUUCCAUUAAUCAAGAACGAAAGUUAGAGGUUCGAAGGCGAUCAGAUACCGCCCUAGUUCUAACCAUAAACGAUGCCAGCUAGCGAUCCGGCUGUGUUCCUCAAAUGACACGCCGGGCAGCUUCCGGGAAACCAAAGCUUUUGGGUUCCGGGGGGAGUAUGGUUGCAAAGCUUAAACUUAAAGGAAUUGACGGAAGCGCACACAAGGAUUGGGGCCUGCGGUUUAAUUUGACUCAACACGGUGCAACUCACUCGGCCCGGACACAGGAAGGAUUGACAGAUUAAGAGCUCUUUCUUGAUUCUGUGAUAGGUGGUGCAUGGCCGUUUCUGGUUGGUGGAGUGAUUUGUCUGCUUUAUUGCGAUAACGAGCGAGACUCUAACCUGCUAAAUAGACGUUACGAUUACAUUGAUGUCGUACGUUCUUCUUAGAGGGACAGGCGGUGUUCAGCCGCACGAAAAAGAGCAAAAACAGGUCAGGAUGCCCUCAGAUGUUCGGGGCCACACGCGCGCCACAUUGAAGGAAUCAGCGUGUGCUUUCCCUCUCCGACAGGAGUGGGUAACCCGUUGAACCUCCUUCGUGCUGGGGAUAGGAAAUUGGAAUUGUUUUCCUUGAACGAGGAAUUCCCAGUAAGCAUGAGUCAUCAGCUCGUGUUGAUUACGUCCCUGCGCUUUGUACACACCGCCCGUCGCUAUUAUCGAUGAAUUUUGGAGUAAGAUCUU